CUGUGAGGGGUAUGAUGUACUAUUAUAGGGCUCUUAAGAUGCUCGCCUUCCUUGAUUCUGCUUCUGAGAUGGACAUUCGAA